AUGCGGGCGGCGGUGGAGGAACUGUCGGCGGCUUUCGAGGCCAAGAAGAGCCAAUGGAUGGCCGCGCAUAAGCGAUCGGGGCUUGAGGAAGCUCGGAGGAGCAGCGCCGCCGUGAAGGUUCACCCCCUCGUGUCCACGGAGGCGCCUCUGAAGCCCGUAACAGCCGCCGGGAAGAGCAGCGCGGCAGGGGGCAGCGAGUCCGGCCGCCGGGUGGAGAUGCACGAGGCGAAGGCCAUCGAGCAGAAGCACCUGUGGGGAGGCCGCCGCCGAAGCGAUGAGUACUAUGCCAUGCGCGGGGAGGUACUGAGGAGAGACCGUGCCGCUCUCGACGAGAUUACGGAGCCGCAAUCUGCAUGCGCGACGAGGAAGGGAGAAGAUCGUUUGGGCAUCAUCGAGUGGCCGAUCCCAUGCACUAUCAAGCAACCAAACUUUGAUGUUCACAUCAGUGCGAAGCCCACAUAA
rnacentral:rRNA from 1 species